UACGGAGGGUGCGAGCGUUGUCCGGAAUCAUUGGGCGUAAAGGGCGCGUAGGUGGCGGGACAAGCGUGCGGUGAAAGCCUGGGGCUCAACCCCGGGUCGGCCGUGCGAACUGUUUUGCUUGAGCACUGUAGAGGCAGGCGGAAUUCCGGGUGUAGCGGUGGAAUGUGUAGAGAUCCGGAAGAACACCGGUGGCGAAGGCGGCCUGCUGGGCAGUAGCUGACACUGAGGCGCGACAGCGUGGGGAGCAAACAGG
rnacentral:rRNA from 1 species